ACUCCACACGGAACGGCUGAUGGCACUUCCACUCCACGGCUGAUGGUCACUCCACUCCACACUGCAACGUCUGAUGGCCACUUCCACUCCACGGCUGAUGGUCACUUCCACUCCACACUGCAAUGGCUGAUGGUCACUUCCACUCCACACUGCAAUGGCUGAUGGUCACUUCCACUCCACGGCUGAUGGUCACUUCCACUCCACAGAAUGACAAAAUGGCGGAUCUCACUCCAAAAGGUGGAGCCCCAGAAAACAGCUGGAUGAAGACUGAAGAGGUCAGCGGUGCUACAGCUCUAGUGGUGGUCGUUGGAGGAGGUCUUUAUUUAAAGAUGUCAGCUGUGCUGCAGCUCUAGUGGUGGUCGUUGGAGGAGGUCUUUAUUUAAGGCAAUACACAGCACGAAGACACCUGA
rnacentral:lncRNA from 1 species